rnacentral:rRNA from 1 species
CAGUGGGGCGAGACAUAGACAUGCAAGUCGAACGCGAAAGACACCUUCGGGUGUCAAGUAGAGUGGCGCCCGGGCCUGAUACAGGUAGGUAAUCUACCUUCGGGUGGGGAAUAACCCCUUGAAACUUGGGCUAACACCGCAUAAUGCAGCGGCACCACAUGGUGACAGUUGUUAAAGCGGGGGAUUUUCGGACCUCGCGCCUGAAGAGGAGCCUGCGGCAGAUUAGCUAGUUGGUAGGGUAACGGCUUACCAAGGCGACGAUCUGUAGCCGGCCUGAGAGGGCGGUCGGCCACACUGACACUGACAUACGGGUCAGACUCCUACGGGAGGCAGCAGUCGGGAAUUUUGGGCAAUGGGCGAAAGCCUGACCCAGCAACGCCGCGUGAAGGAUGAAAUCUCUCGGGAUGUAAACUUCGCAAG